rnacentral:rRNA from 1 species
UACCAGCACCCCGAGUGGUCGGGACGUUUUAUUGGGCCUAAAGCAUCCGUAGCCGGUUCUACAAGUCUUCCGUUAAAUCCACCUGCUUGAACAGAUGGGCUGCGGAAGAUACUAUAGAGCUAGGAGGCGGGAGAGGCAAGCGGUACUCGAUGGGUAGGGGUAAAAUCCGUUGAUCCAUUGAAGACCACCAGUGGCGAAGGCGGCUUGCCAGAACGCGCUCGACGGUGAGGGAUGAAAGCUGGGGGAGCAACCGGG